rnacentral:tRNA from 1 species
GCGGGGGUUCCCGAGUCUGGUCUAAGGGGCAGGACUUAAGAUCCUGUGGCCUAGCGCCUUCAGCGGUUCAAAUCCGCUCCCCCGCA